AGGCGUGUGCUGGGCUCGGGCGUGGGUCUGAGGCCCUGCGGGCUUCUCCUGGGGCGUGCAUGGAGCGCUAGACGGGCGGGUGUCUGCUGCUGUGCUGCUUUGUGGGUAGCGUCCAGCUCCAGGCGAAGGGGGCAGCAGAUCUGGAGCCCAGUCAGCAGCAGCCCUUGUUGGGGUCCCUUCUCUCAUUGCUCCAGCAGCAGAGCUGCCCCCAAGGGGUCUCUGGGCAGCGCGCGGUGGGCCUGUCCCCUGGGCACUCCCCCUCUGGGGCAUAUGAGGGGGAAGUUCAGUUACCCCAGUGGGCCAGCGACUCUUCAUGCUUGCCAGUAUGACUGUCCUUUAUUUUAUGGUAGUGCCUUGAGAUGCAAGCUCCGGGCUGGUCUGGGCUAGUCAUUGCGCAGAUUAUUUCUCCAGUUGUCCACAUCAUUUUGAAUUAUAAUCCUAUCCUCCAAAGCACUUGCAAUCCUUCCCAGAUAAGUCCCACAUCAUUUUGCCUGGAAAUUAGACUUUAUUAUCAAAAGCUUGUUGAUUUGCUCUAUAAGGCAUCAUCAAAAACGGUGAGUCUGCUUGGUUUGGUAAGACAUCACUUAAUUGUGUCCUCUUUCUUUUAUGUGUUGUUAAUCCUUAGAAC